rnacentral:rRNA from 1 species
UAAGAGCUUGCUCUUAUGAAGUUAGCGGCGGACGGGUGAGUAACACGUGGGUAACCUACCCAUAAGACUGGGAUAACUCCGGGAAACCGGGGCUAAUACCGGAUAAUAUUUUGAACUGCAUAGUUCGAAAUUGAAAGGCGGCUUCGGCUGUCACUUAUGGAUGGACCCGCGUCGCAUUAGCUAGUUGGUGAGGUAACGGCUCACCAAGGCGACGAUGCGUAGCCGACCUGAGAGGGUGAUCGGCCACACUGGGACUGAGACACGGCCCAGACUCCUACGGGAGGCAGCAGUAGGGAAUCUUCCGCAAUGGACGAAAGUCUGACGGAGCAACGCCGCGUGAGUGAUGAAGGCUUUCGGGUCGUAAAACUCUGUUGUUAGGGAAGAACAAGUGCUAGUUGAAUAAGCUGGCACCUUGACGGUACCUAACCAGAAAGCCACGGCUAACUACGUGCCAGCAGCCGCGGUAAUACGUAGGUGGCAAGCGUUAUCCGGAAUUAUUGGGCGUAAAGCGCGCGCAGGUGGUUUCUUAAGUCUGAUGUGAAAGCCCACGGCUCAACCGUGGAGGGUCAUUGGAAACUGGGAGACUUGAGUGCAGAAGAGGAAAGUGGAAUUCCAUGUGUAGCGGUGAAAUG